AUGGCGGAAUUGGCAGACGCGCACGUUUAAGGGGCGUGUGGGUACCCCCAUGUGGGUUCAAGUCCCACUCCCGGCACCA
rnacentral:tRNA from 1 species